UUCGGUCAAGCUACUAAGGGCAUACGGUGGAUGCCUUGGCGCCAGCAGGCGAAGAAGGACGUGGCCAGCUGCGAUAAGCCUCGGGGAGCCGCUAGCAGGCUUUGAUCCGGGGAUUUCCGAAUGGGGCAACCCUCUGGGACUAAUCUCCCAGAAUCCUCCGCUGAAUCCAUAGGCGGGGAGAAGCCAACCCGGGGAAGUGAAACAUCUCAGUACCCGGAGGAAGAGAAAUCAACAGAGAUUCCGCUAGUAGUGGCGAGCGAACGCGGAUUAGCCCAAACCGGAUGCGUGGCGACACGCGCCGGGGUUGCGGGAUGCUGCCGGGGCUUGUCCCGGGAAGUUACAAAAGCGGCGUAUAGCUGAAGAGCUCUGGAAAGGCUCACCAUAGAAGGUGAUAGUCCUGUAAGCGAAAUGCGCCGCUCUUCCUGGGCAGCACUCCCAAGUACGACGGGACACGUGGAACCCUGUCGGAAUCCGGGGGGACCACCCUCCAAGGCUAAAUACUCGCUGGCGACCGAUAGUGCACCAGUACCGUGAGGGAAAGGUGAAAAGCACCCCUGUUAGGGGAGUGAAAUAGAACCUGAAACCGUGUGCCUACAAGCGGUGGGAGCACGAUGUCCGGGGGGCGACUCCCGGGCCGUGUGACCGCGUGCCUUUUGCAUAAUGAGCCUAGGAGUUACUUUCAGCGGCAAGGUUAAGCCGUGAGGCGGAGCCGUAGCGAAAGCGAGUCUGAAUAGGGCGCUGAGUCGCUGGGAGUAGACCCGAAGCCAGGUGAGCUAGCCAUGGCCAGGGUAAAGCUGGUGUAACAGCCAGUGGAGGCCCGAACCAGUGUAGGUUGAAAACUGCUUGGAUGAGCUGUGGCUAGGGGCGAAAGACCAAACAAACCUGGAGAUAGCUGGUUCUCCCCGAAAUGCAUUGAGGUGCAGCCUCGCACGUAUGCUCCCGGUCGUAGAGCACUGGAUGGACUAGGGGCCCUACCAGGUUACCAAACCCAACCAAACUCCGAAGGCCGGGAUGUCUUAUGCGGGAGUGAGUCUACGGGUGAUAAGAUCCGUGGGCGAGAGGGAAACAGCCCAGACCGCCAGCUAAGGCCCUCAAGUGCGCGCUAAGUGGAAAAGGUUGUGGGGACGUCAAGACAACCAGGAGGUUGGCUUAGAGGCAGCCAUCCUUUAAAGAAAGCGUAACAGCUCACUGGUCGAAUGGCCCCGCGCCGAAAAUGAAUCGGGGCUCAAGCGCGCCGCCGAAGCUGCGGAUUGGCCGCACGUUCGCGUGCGGCCAGUGGUAGGGGAGCUUUCUGCAGUAGGUUGAAGCCGGACGGACAACGACCGGUGGACGAGGCAGAAGUGAGCAUCUAGGCACGAGUAGCGAUAAAACGGGUGAAAAACCCGUUCGCCGUAAACCCAAGGGUUCCUGAGCAAGGCUAAUCCGCUCAGGGUCAGUCGGCCCCUAAGGCGAGGCCGAAAGGCGUAGCUGAUGGGAAACAGGUUAACAUUCCUGUACCUGCGCGAGACUGCCAAUGGGGUGACGCAGAAGGGUAGGUCAGCCGCCUGAUGGAUGGCGGUUCAAGCAUGUAGGCGGGAGGCUUAGGCAAAUCCGGGCCUCCAUCCCAAACGCCGAGGUGUGAUGACGAGGAGCCUCGCUCCACAAAGUGAUCAAGCCCAUGCUGCCUGGAAAAACCUCUAGGCUAUAGGUUCGAGCAGACCGUACCGUAAACGGACACACGUGGGUGGGUAGAAUAUACUCAGGCGCUUGAGAGAACACUCGCUAAGGAACUCGGCACAUUCACACCGUAACUUCGGGAGAAGGUGUGCCCCAAGUAGGUGAGGCGGUUCGCCCGCGGAGCUGAACGGGGUUGCAGAGAAAUGCCCCAGGCGACUGUUUACUAAAAACACAGGGCUCUGCCAAGCCGCAAGGCGACGUAUAGGGCCUGACGCCUGCCCGGUGCCGGAAGGUUAAGAGGAGGGGUCAGCGCAAGCGAAGCUCUGAAUCGAAGCCCCGGUAAACGGCGGCCGUAACUAUAACGGUCCUAAGGUAGCGAAAUUCCUUGUCGGGUAAGUUCCGACCUGCACGAAUGGCGUAACGAUCUGGGGACUGUCUCAGCGAGUGACUCAGUGAAACUGUAGCAGCGGUGAAGAUGCCGCUUACCCGCGACUAGACGGAAAGACCCCGUGCACCUUUACUAUACCCUGGCAAUGACACCCGGGAUAUCAUGUGUAGGAUAGGUGGGAGGCUUUGAAGCGCAGCCGCUAGGUUGCGUGGAGCCAACCUUGAAAUACCACCCUUGGUGUUCUGUGUGUCUAACCUAGGCCCGUGAUCCGGGUCGGAGACAUUGUCAGGCGGGUAGUUUGACUGGGGCGGUCGCCUCCCAAAAUGUAACGGAGGCGCCCAAAGGUGCCCUCAGGCUGAAUGGAAACCAGCCGACGAGUGCAAAGGCAAAAGGGCGCUUGACUGCAAGACAAACAAGUCGAGCAGGUGCGAAAGCAGGGCUUAGUGAUCCGGUGGUUCUGUGUGGAAGGGCCAUCGCUCAACGGAUAAAAGGUACGCCGGGGAUAACAGGCUGAUCUCCCCCAAGAGUUCACAUCGACGGGGAGGUUUGGCACCUCGAUGUCGGCUCAUCGCAUCCUGGGGCUGGAGCAGGUCCCAAGGGUUUGGCUGUUCGCCAAUUAAAGCGGUACGCGAGCUGGGUUUAGAACGUCGUGAGACAGUUCGGUCCCUAUCUGUCGUGGGCGCAGGAGAUUUGCGAGGCGCUGACCCUAGUACGAGAGGACCGGGUCGGACGAACCUCUAGUGUUCGAGUUGUGGCGCCAGCCGCAGUGCUCGGUAGCUAUGUUCGGAAGGGAUAACCGCUGAACGCAUAUAAGUGGGAAGCCCCCCUCAAGACGAGAUCUCCCUGGACUUCGGUCCCUAAAGGCCCCUUCUAGACCAGGAGGUUGAUAGGCCGGAGGUGUAAGCGCAGCAAUGCGUUUAGCUGACCGGUACUAAUAGGCCGUGAGGCUUGACCGAUAA
rnacentral:rRNA from 1 species